rnacentral:rRNA from 1 species
GAUGAACGCUGGCGGCGUGCCUAAUACAUGCAAGUCGAGCGAAUGGAUUAAGAGCUUGCUCUUAUGAAGUUAGCGGCGGACGGGUGAGUAACACGUGGGUAACCUGCCCAUAAGACUGGGAUAACUCCGGGAAACCGGGGCUAAUACCGGAUAACAUUUUGAACCGCAUGGAUCGAAAUUGAAAGGCGGCUUCGGCUGUCACUUAUGGAUGGACCCGCGUCGCAUUAGCUAGUUGGUGAGGUAACGGCUCACCAAGGCAACGAUGCGUAGCCGACCUGAGAGGGUGAUCGGCCACACUGGGACUGGGACACGGCCCAGAAUCCUACGGGAGGCAGCAGUAGGGAAUCUUCCGCAAUGGACGAAAGUCUGACGGAGCAACGCCGCGUGAGUGAUGAAGGCUUUCGGGUCGUAAAACUCUGUUGUUAGGGAAGAACAAGUGCUAGUUGAAUAAGCUGGCACCUUGACGGUACCUAACCAGAAAGCCACGGCUAACUACGUGCCAGCCGCCGCGGUAA